CACAUGAAUUAAUUCACAUGAUUAAAUAUUUUAGAGACUGUUUUAAUUACUAAUUUUUCACUAGAUUAUGUCUACUUAUACUAGAAGAAUAUUUAAUGCAGCUUCCCCCAUAAUAAGAGUAUUUGAAAAUAGAAUAUAAACUCUAAUACUUUUAUAUUUUUACAUCUCCAGUUUUGGUGCCAUUUUUGAAUUUCAGAAUUUAAGGAUUCAGUCACGACGAAACGUUCAGUUACUGAUCAUCUCUCUAACGUCAUCAGUGUAUUUUCUAAGAAAAUAAAUACUGGUGAAAUAGCCAUUAUUUUCCAUAUACUCACUAUAUUGAAGUAAGUUCACUUUUGAAUAGCGUAAUUUUGUGCUCUUCGAAUCGUUAAACCUUGGAAUAUCUAAAAAAAAUCUUCUAGAAGCGUUAAAUAGAGCGUACAGAAUAAUUCCGAUUCCUCGAAUCUUGUAGGUCAUUCUGAAACGUUUUCCAAGAUGGCCAGAAGAGGAAAGGUCAAUCAAUUUUAAGGUUUAUUCUUUUGAUGGCUAAAAGUGACAUUAUAUUAUUGUUGUUUUAUAAACUAAAUCUUUUUAUUAUAUCAAUGCGAGAAAAUAACAGAAAUUUUGUCUUCUUUUCUUUUUAUUCUUACACUUGCUCAAAGUCAGAUAAGAGAGAGAUUUAUUUUUAUACCAAUCUCGAAAAAAAUGUUUUUUUUUUGCUUUUUCACUUUUGCGUGCUUUAUCGCGAUAGCGCGCUAUCUGAAUUAAGGAAACCAGAGCAGUACAAAUCGAUUAAAAGUUGAAAUCGGACUUUAAAAACUUAUCAGGUAUCAAAAUUCGAACAAUAUUUGUAGCUGAUUGAAGUUUUAUUUGCGUGGGUCUCGCGUAGGAGUAUUUCAUUGAUCGGCUAAUACGUAAAAUUUUAUAGUAAGUGUAUACAAAGAAAUAAAAAAAUUAGGAUUAAAAAUUCUAUCAACUAGCACGACCUUCGAAAAGAUUAUGGUCAUUAAGAAAGUGCGGGACUGUUAUCACUUAACAUUACAACGAAUUAUCGAAAAGUGUGUCUUUUCCGUUUCUGUAACAUAAAAAAUGCAUAUAAGAGAAUAUUUCUCUGUUUUGGAAUAUUUCCAACAUUCUUCUGAAGUUAAAAAAAAAAAAAAAAAACAAACACCUUUAAAUCCCACAAAAAAGAAAGUAUUAAUUUUUUUAUUAAUAUAUGAUUUAAAAGUGCUU
rnacentral:lncRNA from 1 species